rnacentral:ncRNA from 2 species
UGAUUCGACACGGGGUGUCCUGCUUGCAGGGCUGAGAUAACACCCGUUGAACCUGAUCCAGUUCACACUGGCGAAGGGAUGUCAGCCGCAGGCGUC